rnacentral:rRNA from 1 species
AUUGAACGCUGGCGGCAGGCCUAACACAUGCAAGUCGAGCGGAUGAAGGGAGCUUGCUCCUGGAUUCAGCGGCGGACGGGUGAGUAAUGCCUAGGAAUCUGCCUGGUAGUGGGGGAUAACGUCCGGAAACGGGCGCUAAUACCGCAUACAUCCUGAGGGAGAAAGUGGGGGAUCUUCGGACCUCACGCUAUCAGAUGAGCCUAGGUCGGAUUAGCUAGGUGGUGGGGUAAAGGCCUACCAAGGCGACGAUCCGUAACUGGUCUGAGAGGAUGAUCAGUCACACUGGAACUGAGACACGGUCCAGACUCCUACGGGAGGCAGCAGUGGGGAAUAUUGGACGAUGGGCGAAAGCCUGAUCCAGCCAUGCCGCGUGUGUGAAGAAGGUCUUCGGAUUGUAAAGCACUUUAAGUUGGGAGGAAGGGCAGUAAGUUAAUACCUUGCUGUUUUGACGUUACCAACAGAAUAAGCACCGGCUAACUUCGUG